AUGGUUCUCACAGUGUUCCGUGGCGUUGGUUGCACGGCAGAGACGGUCGACAGUAUGCGGCCGAGGGAGUCGCAGAGAGAAGUCGACGGCGGAAACCGCUUCCCGCGGUGUUAUCCGUGGUUGGAGCGGCAAUCGGAAUGCGAGGAGGCUGGAGGCGGUGGAUUUCGUGUGGCCAAUCGAUUCUCGCGUGUGGUGGCCGGGAACGGAGCGUCGGUGGUUGUGCGCGAGCGAUUUCAGGCGCGAUCUCCGUCGCUGUUGGUGUUACGUCGUGACUAUGACCGGAGUUUUAAAGGCGCGGUUGUAUUCGAUCCAUUUUUCGUUUGUUCUUCCUUUUUUUGA